UUUGAUGUAAUGCUUAUGUAUGUCCGUGUCUUUUGGCAUGUUCAUGCCUUGUACAACAUGUAGAGGGGCGGCCGAAGGCUUAAUAGUCCCAUUUUAGUUGGGUCGGUGGCCUCUUUAGGCUUGUAAAUAAAGGUUGUGUCAUGUGGACACAUGCGAGAGAUUUUCGGUCUGUAAUGGACCAUUUUACCCUUUGUUGUGCCACUGUUCAGAGCUUGUAAAGUCUGUUUGUAAUUUGCAUUGUCUAUGAAGUGUUUUUCGGAGAUGUUUGCUUGUGGAUCCCGAUUGAGGCGUUCUCUCUAACCCGUUCUCUCUUUUGGUGGUCCUAAGGGACAAUGGGAGGCUGACCUUUGCGGACGGACACGCAAGGGUGACGCACGGCUUAGGCAAAACCAGCUAAGUCCGUGACAG
rnacentral:lncRNA from 1 species